UCCCACAGUCCUCUUCGCCUCCGCUCGGUCCACCCCCAAACUCCGGUAUUAACCCCUUCACGUCCAUGUUCAUUGGCCCAUCGACGCCCCCUGGCACGCAGAUUGCUUCGUGAAAUCCCGGACACCUAAUUGCUAAGACCUUCUCGCUGAUAAAUAAUAAACGACAAUCAUGGUUAACAUUUGAGCGUCUGUGGACCAGCUAAGAAAAUUCAGGCCAGGAGCUUUCCUGGUGACGCAGUGGUUAAGAAUCCACCUGCCAAUGCAGGGGACACGGUUUCGAGCCCUGGUCCGGGAAGAUCC